ACUGCGCAAGCAAAGGGUGAUAAUCAGUUCUAAAGCCUGUAUUACACUCUUUGACCGAGCGUCAAAUAUUUGUCACUUUUUGACAGAUAAAAAUUUGGUAAAAUAUAAUUGUUUGUCACUCUCCAAUUUUAACAUGGGGCAAACACGGAAAAACAACAACCAUGAUGUCAAAUAAAUUUGACCAUUAUGUCAGAUGGUCAAAUAUUUGACCAUUAGACAAAGAGUGUACUACAGACUUAAAAUGAUAUACAAUCGUUAAAAGCUAAAGUCAAGCAAUGAUAACACAUUCAUGUGCGAGCAAUUUGGUUCAGUGUAGUCUGCUUUUUCUUUUGGCAGUUUUUGCCCAUAACAAGGUUAAAAAUAGAGGUAGGUCUACUAGAUCAUGAUUCUCAAAGCAGUUUUCAAGUCGAAUCUCGACAAAUCGACUCUAGUGCUUGGGAUCUUUUGUGCAACAUGAUUUGCCUCGAAUACAAUGGGCACACUAGCGACAUUACUUAUCUAGGGACUAAAUAAUCUUAUAUUUGCAUGUUAUCUGUUUUGAGUGUAGUAUUCGUUUCUCCCUCUCCACGGUUAAAUGAAGCUACCUAAUUAUGAGUACGAAAACUACCAAUUUUUGAGUUCGCCUAAGCGAACUGCGAUUUUGAGUAACUUUGAUUAAGUGAAAUUUGUAGAAAAAACUCAUAUGAUGGAUCAAUGCACCAUAUCUAUGUUUGAAUGAAAUGUUUUGAAUUUUCGCUGCUCGAGAGGUUAUUGUUUACCUAAUUUUGGAUGAAAAUUUUUAACCUGCCAGUGCUGUCAAGAAAGAAACAGUUGUGAAAUCAACAGUGUUCUUUUCUACGAGUGCUUAAAAUUCGGGUUUCUAGUGAAAGAAGGUUUGGAGUUGUAUUUUGUUUGCUUUGAAAUAUUCAAAAUGAAUAAAAUAUCCUCAUCGAUUAGCGAAAGACUUCCUUCCGAAAGCAAAACCACCCGCACAGAAAGUGGUAUCGCCUGCGGGGCCACUGAACCAGAGAAUGAACUACUGGUGUGCGCCAGAGUGGCACGGGCCAGAUUUUGGUUUUCAAAAGGAUUUUGAGUGAUUUCUACUUAGGUAUAGGUUUUUCAUGGUAAGCGUGGCAGGCAAACAGUGUAAUACAGGCUUAUCUCCUCGUUUUCAAGCAGUUUUUUUUUUGGUUUUUCGAGCAGUUGCAGUCAUUUUUCAAAAACAUCUGGCAUCUUUGACAUUAACCGGUUAAAAAAUUUAACUGUAGGUUACAUAUAAAUAAUUUUCUCAGUAUAUAAUAUGGGUUCACGAACGCUCAUUUUUAACGAAAACUUUUUAAAUGAUGGAGACCAGGAUGCUAAUUCGGUUUUGAUUGAACUUUUUUUUUUAUAACUAAUAUUUAUUUAGGCCCAACCGCGAAGCAUAACGGGGCCGAAUGUCUUUUGGAGUAGGGAAAAGCCAGCUUGAGUAGAGCCUGUAUCCCGACUGCUCCUCCUCAAACAGGCAUAAAAACCCUCUCAUCUUUUCUUUUUUAUAAAUACAAUUUAAAAAUACAUGUCAUUUAAACCUACGACUAAAAAUAACAUUAAAUUUCUUCUCUAUGUUAAAUAUCAAUUCUUAAUACUAUUCA